AUUGAACGCUGGCGGCAGGCCUAACACAUGCAAGUCGAACGGUAACAGGAAGCAGCUUGCUGCUUCGCUGACGAGUGGCGGACGGGUGAGUAAUGUCUGGGAAGCUGCCUGAUGGAGGGGGAUAACUACUGGAAACGGUAGCUAAUACCGCAUAAUGUCGCAAGACCAAAGAGGGGGACCUUCGGGCCUCUUGCCAUCGGAUGUGCCCAGAUGGGUUUAGCUUGUUGGUGGGGUAACGGCUCACCAAGGCGACGAUCCCUAGCUGGUCUGAGAGGAUGACCAGGCACACUGGAACUGAGACACGGUCCAGACUCCUACGGGAGGCAGCAGUGGGGGAUAUUGCACAAUGGGCGCAAGCCUGAUGCAGCCAUGCCGCGUGUAUGAAGAAGGCCUUCGGGUUGUAAAGUACUUUCAGCGGGGAGGAAGGGAGUAAAGUUAAUACCUUUGCUCAUUGACGUUACCCGCAGAAGAAGCACCGGCUAACUCCGUG
rnacentral:rRNA from 1 species